rnacentral:misc_RNA from 1 species
AAAAUGCGAUAAGUAAUGUGAAUUGCAGAAUUCAGUGAAUCAUCGAAUCUUUGAACGCACAUUGCGACCGCCAGUAUUCUGGCGGGCAUGCCUGUUCGAGCGUCAUUUCAACCCUCAAGCCCCCGGGUUUGGUGUUGGGGAUCGGGCUGCGGUUCUACCGCGUCCCGGCCCCGAAAUCUAGUGGCGGUCUCGCUGCAGCCUCCAUUGCGUAGUAGCUAACACCUCGCAACUGGAACGCGGCGCGGCCAAGCCGUUAAACCCCCAACUUCUGAAUGUUGACCUCGGAUCAGGUAGGAAUACCCGCUGAACUUAAGC